rnacentral:rRNA from 1 species
AGAGUUUGAUUCUGGCUCAGAACGAACGCUUGCAGCGUGGAUUAGGCAUGCAAGUCGAACGAGAAUCCGUGGAUUCAAUCUUUCGGGAGAGAAACCACGGAGGAAAGUGGCGAAAGGGUGAGUAACGCGUGGGCAAUCUACCUCCAGACUGGGGAUAACUCCGCGAAAGCGGGGAUAAUACCGAAUGUGGUGGUGUUUCGCAUGGAGCAUUGACUAAAGGUGGGGACUUCGAAAGGGGCCUACCGUCUGGAGAGGAGCCUGCGUCCUAUCAGCUUGUUGGCGGGGUAACGGCCCACCAAGGCUUACGGGUAGCUGGUCUGAGAGGAUGGUCAGCCACACUGGGACUGAGACACUGCCCAGACUCCUACGGGAGGCUGCAGUCGAGGAUCAUUCGCAAUGCGCGAAAGCGUGACGAUGCGACGCUGCGUGGAGGAUGAAGGCCUUCGGGUCGUAAACUCCUGUCAUUCGGGAACAACGGCGAUGGCGUAAAUAGCGUGAUCGCUUGAUAGUACCGGAAGAGGAAGCCACGGCUAACUCUGUGCCAGCAGCCGCGGUAAUACAGAGGUGGCGAGCGUUGUUCGGAUUUACUGGGCGUAAAGAGUGCGUAGGUGGUCCUGCACGUCGGAUGUGAAAUCCCGUCGCUCAACGGCGGAACGCCAUUCGAAACUACAGGACUAGAGAACGGGAGGGGAGAGCGGAAUUCCAGGUGUAUCGGUGAAAUGCGUAGAUAUCUGGAGGAACACCGGUGGCGAAGGCGGCUCUCUGGAACGUUACUGACACUGAGGCACGAAAGCGUGGGUAGCGAACAGGAUUAGAUACCCUGGUAGUCCACGCCCUAAACGGUGUGCAUUUGGUGUGGGGAGAAUUGACCCUCUCCGUGCCGUAGCCAACGCGUUAAAUGCACCGCCUGGGGAGUACGGCCGCAAGGUUGAAACUCAAAGAAAUUGACGGGGGCCCGCACAAGCGGAGGAGCAUGUGGCUUAAUUCGAUGCAACGCGAAGAACCUUACCAAGGCUUGACAUGCAGCUGCAAGCCCCGUGAAAGCGGGGUUCCUUCGAGGGUGCUGCACAGGUGCUGCAUGGCUGUCGUCAGUUCGUGCCGUGAGGUGUUGGGUUAAGUCCCGCAACGAACGCAACCCCUGUGUUUAGUUGCUACCAUCGGUGAUGAGCCGGUGAGCACUCUAGACAGACUGCCCGUGCAAGCGGGAGGAAGGUGGGGAUGACGUCAAGUCAGUAUGGCCUUUAUGCCUUGGGCUGCACACGUGCUACAAUGGUCGGUACAGAGGGAAGCAAGACCGCGAGGUGGAGCAAAUCCCUAAAAACCGGCCCCAGUUCGGAUUGAAGUCUGAAACUCGACUUCAUGAAGUUGGAUUCGCUAGUAAUGGCGCAUCAGCUACGGCGCCGUGAAUACGUUCCCGGGCCUUGUACACACCGCCCGUCACAUCACGAAAGUCGUCUGCACCCGAAGUCACUGAUCCAACCCCGCAAGGGGAAGAAGGUGCCGAAGGUGUGGGUGGUGAUUGGGAUGAAGUCGGAACAAGGUA